rnacentral:pre_miRNA from 1 species
GUCUCUUGUGUUAAGGUGCAUCUAGUGCAGUUAGUGAAGCAGCUUAGAAUCUACUGCCCUAAAUGCCCCUUCUGGCACAGGCU